ensembl:lncRNA
CUCUGGUGGCACAGCUGGAGCUGCAAUACAGCGCCCUUAACCACCCGAGAGGCAACAUACGCUGCUUUUGGCAUGGGAUUGUCAAGGAUGUGGACAGCAGGGUCUAGCUUGACAGAAGUUUGAGAGGGUGAAGACUAGCGUAAGAGUUGAAGCCCAUCAGUUGUUUUACCAUGGCACAUGAUCGGUGGACCUCAUUGGACCCUUGAUGAAAUCCAGGAAUGGCAACAGCUGGUGUCUGACGGUGACCGAUUAUUUUACCAUAUGGGGGGAGGCAAUACCCAUUAAGAUACCCAUCAAGGACAAGACUGGCGAGGCCACCUCCAAGGUGAUGAUGGACAUCUUCAACACCUACGGUUCUCCUGAUGUCAUCUUUAUUGACCAAGGUCGUGAACUCUGAAACAAGAACCUGUGCCCUAGGACCAUGCCUCAGGACUACCUGGCCUGAUGACUCCUUGCUGUCCCCAGUUCACCUGGUCAUGCUGCUGCUCUGGUUUUGGCUGUUCUGCCUGCGGCUGUGGAGCCAUGGACUGUUCACCGGACG